GAUGAACGCUGGCGGCGUGCCUAAUACAUGCAAGUCGAGCGAACGGACGAGAAGCUUGCUUCUCUGAUGUUAGCGGCGGACGGGUGAGUGACACGUGGAUAACCUACCUAUAAGACUGGGAUAACUUCGGGAAACCGGAGCUAAUACCGGAUAAUAUUUUGAACCGCAUGGUUCAAAGGUGAAAGACGGUCUUGCUGUCACUUAUAGAUGGAUCCGCGCUGCAUUAGCUAGUUGGUAAGGUAACGGCUUACCAAGGCAACGAUGCAUAGCCGACCUGAGAGGGUGAUCGGCCACACUGGAACUGAGACACGGUCCAGACUCCUACGGGAGGCAGCAGUAGGGAAUCUUCCGCAAUGGGCGAAAGCCUGACGGAGCAACGCCGCGUGAGUGAUGAAGGUCUUCGGAUCGUAAAACUCUGUUAUUAGGGAAGAACAUAUGUGUAAGUAACUGUGCACAUCUUGACGGUACCUAAUCAGAAAGCCACGGCUAACUACGUGCCAGCAGCCGCGGUAAUACGUAGGUGGCAAGCGUUAUCCGGAAUUAUUGGGCGUAAAGCGCGCGUAGGCGGUUUUUUAAGUCUGAUGUGAAAGCCCACGGCUCAACCGUGGAGGGUCAUUGGAAACUGGAAAACUUGAGUGCAGAAGAGGAAAGUGGAAUUCCAUGUGUAGCGGUGAAAUGCGCAGAGAUAUGGAGGAACACCAGUGGCGAAGGCGACUUUCUGGUCUGUAACUGACGCUGAUGUGCGAAAGCGUGGGGAUCAAACAGGAUUAGAUACCCUGGUAGUCCACGCCGUAAACGAUGAGUGCUAAGUGUUAGGGGGUUUCCGCCCCUUAGUGCUGCAGCUAACGCAUUAAGCACUCCGCCUGGGGAGUACGACCGCAAGGUUGAAACUCAAAGGAAUUGACGGGGACCCGCACAAGCGGUGGAGCAUGUGGUUUAAUUCGAAGCAACGCGAAGAACCUUACCAAAUCUUGACAUCCUUUGACAACUCUAGAGAUAGAGCCUUCCCCUUCGGGGGGCAAAGUGACAGGUGGUGCAUGGUUGUCGUCAGCUCGUGUCGUGAGAUGUUGGGUUAAGUCCCGCAACGAGCGCAACCCUUAAGCUUAGUUGCCAUCAUUAAGUUGGGCACUCUAAGUUGACUGCCGGUGACAAACCGGAGGAAGGUGGGGAUGACGUCAAAUCAUCAUGCCCCUUAUGAUUUGGGCUACACACGUGCUACAAUGGACAAUACAAAGGGCAGCGAAACCGCGAGGUCAAGCAAAUCCCAUAAAGUUGUUCUCAGUUCGGAUUGUAGUCUGCAACUCGACUACAUGAAGCUGGAAUCGCUAGUAAUCGUAGAUCAGCAUGCUACGGUGAAUACGUUCCCGGGUCU
rnacentral:rRNA from 1 species